UGAUGAUGGUGAUGAUGAUGAUGAUGGUGACCGCCAUCAUGAUCAUGAUGAUGAUGAUGAUCAUGAUGCUCAUCUCCACCAUGAUGAUGAUGA
rnacentral:pre_miRNA from 1 species